rnacentral:rRNA from 1 species
ACAAACGCUGGCGGCGUGCCUCAUACAUGCAAGUCGAACGGGGAAAGCUUUCGGGUGAGUACUAGUGGCGCACGGGUGAGGAACGCGUGGAUAAUCUGCCUUAGAGUGGGGGAUAACUAGUCGAAAGAUUAGCUAAUACCGCAUAAGACCACGAGAGCUGCGGCUUUUGAGGUCAAAGGUUUUUCGCUCUAAGAUGAGUCCGCGUAAGAUUAGCUAGUUGGUGAGGUAACGGCUCACCAAGGCGACGAUCUUUAACUGGUCUGAGAGGAUGAUCAGUCACACUGGAACUGAGACACGGUCCAGACUCCUACGGGAGGCAGCAGUAGGGAAUAUUGCACAAUGGAGGAAACUCUGAUGCAGCGACGCCGCGUGAGUGAUGAAGGCCUUCGGGUCGUAAAGCUCUGUCGCAGGGGAAUAACACAAUGAAGGUGCCCUGUAAGAAAGGAUCGGCUAACUUCGUG